rnacentral:tRNA from 2 species
AAGCUCAUGAUUUAAUGGUAGAAUGAUCCUUUGAUGAGGGGUUUGUAGGAGUUCGAACCUCCUUGAGCUUA